rnacentral:rRNA from 5 species
GUGCUUAACACAUGCAAGUCGAACGGAAAGGUCUCUUCGGAGAUACUCGAGUGGCGAACGGGUGAGUAACACGUGGGUGAUCUGCCCUGCACUUCGGGAUAAGCCUGGGAAACUGGGUCUAAUACCGGAUAGGACCACGGGAUGCAUGUCUUGUGGUGGAAAGCGCUUUAGCGGUGUGGGAUGAGCCCGCGGCCUAUCAGCUUGUUGGUGGGGUGACGGCCUACCAAGGCGACGACGGGUAGCCGGCCUGAGAGGGUGUCCGGCCACACUGGGACUGAGAUACGGCCCAGACUCCUACGGGAGGCAGCAGUGGGGAAUAUUGCACAAUGGGCGCAAGCCUGAUGCAGCGACGCCGCGUGGGGGAUGACGGCCUUCGGGUUGUAAACCUCUUUCACCAUCGACGAAGGUCCGGGUUCUCUCGGAUUGACGGUAGGUGGAGAAGAAGCACCGGCCAACUACGUGCCAGCAGCCGCGGUAAUACGUAGGGUGCGAGCGUUGUCCGGAAUUACUGGGCGUAAAGAGCUCGUAGGUGGUUUGUCGCGUUGUUCGUGAAAUC